CACAGGUAGGUUGGAUUAUACAAGAUAUACAAGAAACUGAAAAUGUAAAUAUGAUAAAGUCAAAAGAAACUCUUUAAGAAAAAAUUGUCAAGAGCACGACUACUCGUGUGAUUUCUCCUCUUUUCCCAUGAAAGUUAAGUUACAGAAUGCAUCUGUGCUAGCCAUUGUGCUAUUGGGCUUGAUUUGCUUGCUUCUACUUUGCUGCAAACUUACUACGUGAAGCAGGUGUACCGAAUAGUGCCAAAAAAAACUGCAGCCAGAAUGGUUUUCAUUGCCACAGGACAGCGAGAUGCACGAGAGAAGUUGACUCUCAGGGCCUGGUCUCUGCAAAAUCCAAAUGCAGACGGUGGUACUAUUAGAGCAAAAUAUUUGCCAUAAGUUUCUAUACCAUGCCUGCUCAUGUGUUCUCUUGAUAAACUGAACUCAGUAUUAUUCUUCAAACCUUUGCGCAGCAGCUCAAUAUGACUAGAAUUCUGAUUAGAAGACGGGAUGAAGUAAGCAGCUUGAAGGAGUGCCAGUGACAAUACAAAUAUCCACUUGACAGUAAAAAG
rnacentral:lncRNA from 1 species